rnacentral:tRNA from 1 species
AAGGGCCUAGUAAAUACAUUACACAGCCUUGUCAAGACUGAAUAACAGACCACCUGUGACCCUUA